CAGCAGCCGCGGGAAUACGUAGGGUGCGAGCGUUAAUCGGAUUUACUUGGCGUAAAGCGUGCGCAGGCGGUUAUAUAAGACAGAUGUGAAAUCCCCGGGCUCAACCUGGGACCUGCAUUUGUGACUGUAUAGCUAGAGUACGGUAGAGGGGGAUGGAAUUCCGCGUGUAGCAGUGAAAUGCGUAGAUAUGCGGAGGAAUACCGAUGGCGAAGGCAAUCCCCUGGACCUGUACUGACGCUCAUGCACGAAAGCGUGGGGAGCAAACAGGAUUAGAUACCCCGGUAGUCCCUGUCUCUUAUAC
rnacentral:rRNA from 1 species